rnacentral:rRNA from 1 species
UGUAAUUUGAAGAAGCGAUUAUCACGUUUUCGUUCGGGUUCAAGUUCCUUGGAAUAGGACAUCAGAGAGGGUGAGAAUCCCGU